rnacentral:tRNA from 2 species
AGAGAGGUGUCCGAGUGGUUGAAGGAGUACGCCUGGAAAGUGUAUAUACACGAGAGUGUAUCGAGGGUUCGAAUCCCUUCCUCUCUG